rnacentral:rRNA from 1 species
CCUACGUGAGGCAGCCGUUGGGAAUAUUGGGCAAUGUGCGCAAGCCUGACCCAGCAACGCCGCGUGAAGUAAGCAGGCUUUCGGGUUGUAAACUUCUUUUCUGAGGGACGAAGAAAGUGACUGUACCUCAGGAAUAAGCCACGGAUAACUACGUGCCAGCAGCCGCGGUAAUACGUAGGUGGCAAGCGUUAUCCGGAUUUAUUGGGUGUAAAGGGCGUGUAGGCGGGAAAGCAAGUCAGAUGUGAAAACUCAGGGCUCAACCCUGAGCCUGCAUUUGAAACUGGUUUUCUUGAGUGCUGGAGAGGCAAUCGGAAUUCCGUGUGUAGCGGUGAAAUGCGUAGAUAUACGGAGGAACACCAGUGGCGAAGGCGGAUUGCUGGACAGUAACUGACGCUGAGGCGCGAAAGCGUGGGGAGCAAACAGGAUUAGAUACCCUUGUAGUC